ensembl:lncRNA
AUGUCUCAGCCUGAAGCUACACCGCCUAUGUCCCAGAUGGUGGCCCGGUCGGAGUGCCACUCACGUUCUUCACGCCGUUCGUCCACCAGCCAAGCUGCAGCACGAGCCCGAGCAGACGCGGAAGCUGCCCGCACCAGAGCACGGUACGCCAAACGUCAGAUCGACAUGGAGGUUGAGAAGGCGCGCAUCGAGGCAACGCUAAACGCUCUGAAGAAGGAGGGUGAGGCUGAAGCAGCACUUGCUGCAGCUCAUGUCCUGGAAGCGGCAGCAGACGAGGAGCACCACGCCAUCGACCUCACUGAGCAAGGCAUCUCCCCUAAGACGCCUCCUUCCAUCAGACGUGCUCAAGACUAUGUGAAUGCUCACUUCGCCGACUUCAGUUCGCUAGUGAAACAAGAAGAAAAGCCCGACACAGGACAACUGGUCAGUCAUAACGACUCUCACCAUCUACAACAGAGCCAAACACCAGUCGCUACCUCUCCAGGUGAACAUCUCAUUGAUUGUGUAGACCGGGAGCAGCUGAAGUUCCCCCCUACACACAUGAAAAUGGAUAUUCCACCUCAGCCUAGACCUUCAGCGACUCCACAGACUGAGCUGCCGGAUCUAGCAGCCUACCUAGCACGCCGUGAUCUACUGACAGCGGGAUUCAAGGUUUUCGACAACCACCCUGAGUCCUACUUGUCCUGGAAGUCCAUCUUCUGCAACGCCAUAGAAGGCCUCAACCUCAAGCCCAGCGAAGAGCUUGACCUUCUAACCAAGUGGCUCAGCGGGGAGUCACUUCAACACGCCCUGAGGAUCAGGGCGGUCCACAUGAACAACCCACAAGCAGGCCUCCAACGUUUGUGGCAGCGUCUAGACAAGAGUUACGGCUCUCCAGAGGUAGUCGAAGCGUCACUCUUCCAACGCUUAGAGGCUUUUCCAAAGAUAUCCAAUAAAGACGCUCACCAGCUGCAGGAGCUUGCAGAUCUUCUGCUAGAGUUAGAGUAUGCACAAAAUGAAGGUUAUCUGCCAGGCCUUAGCUUUCUUGACACCCCAAGGGGGAUAAACCCGAUAGUUGAAAAGCUCCCUUACGGACUCCAAGAGUCAUGGGUAAAACAAGGGACAAAAUACAAAAGAGACAAUGGUGCAGUUUACCCACCUUUCUCAUUCUUCGUUCAGUUUGUAAAUAACUACGCUGAUAUGAAAACAGACCCUAGCUUUAUGUUACAAAGCGCAAACAUAGUAGCUCCAAGAGUUGACAAGACACUGAUAAAACCAAACAGAUACAGAGUUCCUGUUGCAGUGAACAAAACAUAUAUUAGUCAAACUAACAGCACAGCUCAAGCAUCCGUUCUUAAUCCGGACAAGCAAUGUCCUAUUCACCACAAGCCUCAUUCGCUCGCUAAAUGCAGGGGAUUUAGGUCAAAAACACUGGACGAAAGAAAAGGUAUUCUCAAAGAACACGCUAUUUGUUAUAAGUGUUGUUCUACCACAAGUCAUAGAGCUAAAGACUGUAAAGCCAUUAUCCAAUGCUCAGAAUGUAAUAGUGAUGCGCACGUGUCUGCCAUGCAUGUUGGUCCACCUCCGUGGACGCCUAAAGACUCUAACCCUCUGCCUCAGAGCCACGGCGGGGAGUCCGAUUCCCCAAGCCCUGCAACUACAACUAGUUGCACAGAAGUGUGUGGCCGAGGCCUCAAAGGUAAAUCCUGCUCUAAGAUUGGCUUAGUCAAUGUGUAUUCCCGCACUUCGCCUGAAGAGAAAAGGAGGAUGUACGCCAUGUUAGAUGAUCAAAGCAAUUCAUCCUUAGCCAGGUCUGCCUUCUUUGACAUGUUUAAUGUAAAAGGUACCAUACUCCCAUACACCAUGAAAACAUGCGCUGGUCUAUCGGAGACUGGAGGGCGCAGAGCUAGUGACUUUGUUAUUGAGGAUGCAAAUGGAAAAGUGUCCAUGCUGCUGCCCAUACUAACAGAAUGUGAUCAGAUUCCAGAUAACAGGGACGAGAUUCCCACCUCUGAGGCUGCGUCGGCUCACCCUCAUCUACAGGCAAUCGCUUCGCAGAUUCCUCCUCUGGACCCAUCAGCAGAAAUCCUUCUCCUCUUGGGCAGGGACAUCAUCCAAGCUCACAAGGUCCGCAGUCAGGUGAAUGGCCCAAACAGUGCGCCUUAUGCCCAACGCCUUGAUCUGGGAUGGGUAGUUAUAGGUGAUGUCUGCCUCUCAGGUGCCCACAAACCCACAGUGAACUCUUUUAAGACAAACAUUCUUGACAACGGUCGCCCUACUUUCCUCAGCCCCUGUGAAAACAAAAUCUACAUCAAAGACAAAUACACAGAAAGCUGUCAUACACUCGAUAAGACACAAGUUGAAUUGGGCAGACACAUUUUCCAGCAAACAGCAGAUGAUGACAAAGUGGCACUUUCAGCAGAAGAUGCUUUGUUCUUGGACAUCAUGCACAAAGACUUUACAAAAGAUGAUUUUAAUAAUUGGGUAGCUCCACUCCCAUUCCUCACCCCCAGACAGCGUUUGCCCAACAACAGGGACCAGGCCCUCAGUCGUUUAAUGUCACUCCGCAAAACGCUAAAAAGGAAACCUGAAAUGAGGGAGCAUUAUGUUGAGUUUUUGGACAAAAUCUUCAGUAAGGGCCACGCCGAACCAGCUCCUGCUCUUACUCCAGACCAAGAAUGCUGGUAUCUCCCUAGUUUUGGAGUUUACCACCAUCAAAAGCCAGGGAAAAUUAGGGUAGUCUUUGAUUCGAGUGCUCAAUGCAGCAAUGUUUCUCUCAAUGACGUGCUACUAAAAGGGCCAGAUCUCAAUAACACUCUUGUGGGAGUUCUGAUGCGUUUCAGGUCUGACCCAUACGCAGUCAUGGCAGACGUGGAGCAAAUGUUUCACAACUUUCUAGUCAGAGAAGACCACCGCAACUACCUUCGCUUCUUGUGGUUCAAAAACCAUGAUCUGGAUGGAGAAGUGCAGGAAUUCAGGAUGAGAGUACACGUAUUUGGGAACUGCCCCUCCCCGUCAGUGGCUAUUUAUGGACUGAAACGGUCGGCGAUGGAGGGGGAAAGGGAAUACGGGAGUGAUGUAAGAGAGUUCAUUGAACGUCACUUUUAUGUAGAUGAUGGACUGAAAUCAUUCUCUUCCACAGAAGAGGCCAUUGACAUUCUCUGUAGAGCUCAGGAGAUGCUGGCUCAGUGUAACAUACGCCUGCACAAAAUCUCAUCCAACUGUUCUAUCAUCACAAGUGCUUUUCCAAGUGAGGACCUUGCAACGGACAUGCAGGGCCUUGACCUCGGGCAGACUACCCCACCCAUGCAGCGCAGCUUAGGCUUGGGCUGGGACCUGUCCACAGACCUGUUCAAGUUUCAGGUAACAGUCAAUGAAAAGCCCUUCACUAAACGGGGAGUGCUGUCAGUCAUUAAUAGUUUGUACGACCCGCUUGGCUUUGCAGUCCCAGUCAUUGUAGAAGGCAGGGCCAUACUGAGAGACAUUUCCACUGACAUUUGUCAAUGGGACACCGAACUGCCUAAAGACAAAUUACAACAGUGGCAACAAUGGAAAGACUCACUCAAAUAUCUACAACGACUUGAAAUCCCCAGAAUGUACACCUCAAUACCACUAUCUGCAGCUCUAACUAAGGAGAUCCAUGUUUUUUGUGAUGCCUCCACUAAGGCGGUAGGCGCUGUUGCUUACCUCAAACUCACAGAUAGAAAUGGACACUCUGAAGUGGGUUUCCUUCUCGGCAAAGCACGGCUUUCCCCAAAACCGGACAUUACCAUACCCAGACUUGAACUUUGCGCAGCAGUCCUUGCUGCUGAGGUGGCCGAGUUAGUCCUGGAGGAGCUAGACAUUGUAGUCGGACAGGUGAGCUUCUACACAGACUCCAAAGUAGUGCUCGGUUACAUCUUUAACAAAAAGAGACGCUUUCAUGUUUAUGUGCACAACAGAGUGGAACGUAUUAGGCGCUCCACACAAGCUCACCAGUGGCGUUACGUGCCCACUCAUUUAAAUCCUGCUGACCAUGCCACCCGAGCACUACACGCUGACCAGCUCUCUAACUCCACAUGGAUCAGUGGACCCGCUUUCCUUUCCAAUUCAGGAAAAAGUCAAGCACAGGCAGAGUUGUUUGAUCUUGUAGACCCCGAGACUGACAAAGAACUGCGACCUGAGGUUACUACUUGUGCCACUACUCUCUCAAAGGAUAGACUCAGUAGUGUCAGAUUUGAAAGGUUUUCGAGUUGGAAGGUACUACUUACAGCUAUAUCCAAACUCCGACACGUUGCCCAGUCAUUUAAGCCGAACACAGAGAGCUCCUGUCAUGGCUGGCACAGCUGUGAUGAACAUUUGACUGAAAAACAACUCAACCAAGCUAAGAACACUAUCGUUCACACUGUUCAAAGAGAGGUUUACGCAGAGGACAUAAGACAAGUUGUAAAAGGUGUGCCCCUUACAAGCUCAAGCCCACUUAGCAACCUGAGCCCUAUUGUCGACACUAAUGGAAUCCUCAGAGUGGGUGGGAGACUAAAACGUGCACAGUUUACAUCGGACGAAAUAAACCCCAUACUCAUCCCUGGAAAGCACCACCUUGCCCAGCUCAUUAUAAAACACUUCCAUGGGAAAGUAUGCCACCAGGGCAGACAUUUUACUGAGGGUGCAGUCAGGACUGCAGGUUAUUGGAUUGUAGGAGGUAAAAGAGCAAUAAGCAGAGUGAUAUUCAACUGCGUUACAUGCCGCAAACUAAGGGGCGGACAACAGGAACAGAUCAUGGCCGAGCUACCAGAGGACAGGCUGUCCACGGACCCUCCUUUCACACAUGUAGGCCUUGAUGUGUUCGGUCCCUGGCCUGUCACAGUCAGAAAAACACGUGGUGGGCAAUCGGACGCUAAGCGAUGGGCAGUCAUAUUUACAUGUAUGAGCACACGCGCCAUUCACAUUGAAAUUAUAGAAUCCAUGGACACCUCGUCAUUUAUCAAUGCCCUGCGUUGUUUCUUCGCCAUCAGGGGUGCAGUCAAACUUCUUAGAUCCGAUUGUGGGACAAAUUUCGUGAGCGCCUGUAAAGAACUGCAAAUAGACAAACAGGGGUGUCACAACAGCAAACUUCACAGCUUUCUCAAAGACUCUGGCUGUAAAUGGCAUUUUAACCCCCCGCAUGCAUCUCAUAUGGGGGGCUCCUGGGAGCGCAUGAUUGGGGUCACACGCAAAAUCCUUGAUGCAAUGCUCCUAGAACAUAGGAAUGCAAAACUUACUCAUGAGAUAUUAGUGACAUUAAUGGCUGAAGUCACUGCAAUAGUAAAUGCUCGUCCACUCACAGCAGUUUCUACAGAUCCAGAAAACCCAGCCAUUCUUACCCCUGCCAUGCUACUCACACAAAAAGUUGCGACCCCACCGGUCCCACCAGGUCAGUUUGAGAUCAGGGAUCUUUUCAGAGCGCAAUGGAGGCGCGUACAAUUCCUCGCCAAUGUGUUCUGGAGCCGAUGGCAAAGGGAAUACAUCUCAGGACUUCAGAACCGCCGCAAAUGGAAAACAGUGAAACCAAAUCUACAAACAGGAGAUGUUGUUCUGCUAAAGGAGGCACUUGAGCAUAGGAACAACUGGCCACUUGGGCUCAUCACAAAAGUCUUCCCAAGCGAGGAUGGACUUGUUAGGAAAACAGAGGUGAAGAUUUUCCGCAAGGGUGAACUCAGAUUCUACAUAAGACCUAUAAGUGAGGUUGUGUUAUUGGUGUCUAAGGACAGCACUUAG